GCUAGCUUUCAUAGUACCAGUAUGUGCUAUGCAAGUUGCUGAGGGAGAAAAGUCAUCAAUGGCCUUUUUCAGCUGUGAUCCCUGUGAGCUACAGCAAUGAUCAGCAUGGCAAGAAAUGCCCACAAGUGCAACAGUGGCACAAAUGUUAUGUGCUGGGAUUAAAGACAUGUACCACUGCACCUGGCUCAUCUGAGGAUUCUUGAAGGUCUUGGGAAUGCUUCGUUGUCAUAGGAACAUCUACUUUUCUUUGAAGAAGUGACAACGUUCAGUGUCCUAGCAGAAGGAAAAUGAAAAUUCUAUUAAUUUUCAGAAAUAUGUUUGAGUGCUGAAGCUAAAUGCACAGGAGUGAUGUAAAUGGAAACAAAAUGAACAAAGGAUGAAUCAGGGAGAAAAGGCUUAGGGGUAAGCCAAAUCAAGUGAUUUGAGUUAUUUUAAGAAGAAGCAAUUCAUUGCACUAGUUGCCAAACUGAAAAUGCCUGGACAGCCUGCUCAAAGAGCCAGCAGCAGGAAGAGAGAAGAUAUGGAUUUCUUUGGAGACAAAAUCUUACUAGGUCAACAGAAGAGGGACAGGAUAAAGUGCCGGCCACUCCUUGUUACCCUUCUCAUUCAUGAAUUGGCAUCAUGGUGUACAGACUGUCUGGAGGACUGUCCAGGGCAGUAGUGCUUCAAGCACUUCCUGUUAGAAGCACUGUAACACAUUCACUAAAACAGAGAGUGCUAAGUGCCAGGGUUCACGGGGUAGUUCUUGGAACUGGAGAAGAGCAAGGGAUCUUUGUGAAAGAAGUUAUACUUGGACUGAGCCUUGUAAGACAGCAGACUUGUUCGUUUUACCUGAAUGCAAGUGCAUCUUUGAUUUUUCAAAAUCCAACAUGUCCUUUCAAGGUCCAGCCAGACUGAUUCCCCUCUGGAAAGUCAUCCAUGUUUUCCUUCCACUCUGAACCAGAAGUCACUCUGCACUUCCCUUGUGCUGUCAAUGGUGUGCGUGCGUUAAUGUGCCUGUGUUUUAUGAUGGACUAGUCUACGCAGCUCUCAACGGUCUACAUCCCUGAUAGCACCUAGCACGCAUGGCUCUUAUUAUGGGUCCCCAGUUGGUCUCUAUGACAAGCGAAUAAACAAUGUCAUUUGCUCUUUUGUGGCCUGUGGUUUCACUUGCCUGCCCUUUCUACAAAAGAAUAAUCCAAGCAAUUUUCUCAUCUUUCCUAAUAUUUGGGGAAAUACAUGAAGAAGCUUCACUUUAUACACAAUGAAAAUUGGGCUCAGGGUAUGACCUUGUACUUUCUAUGUUGAUUUAUUAUAGAACAAUAUGUAACACAGGAGAAAAAUACCUAGCUUAAAAAUCUUGUUGCCAUUUUAUUACAGUGCUUCCCAUGAGCAAAAAAGCUGAAAACUAGACUCAGUCUUGAUGACUGAGAUUAGUUAUAUCAUGGAACUUGAUUUUCAGUUUGAAUAACUAUGUAUCUCUGGCAUGUACUGAUCCAAUUUUGCUUGCUGAGUUAAAACACUAUAUGUGAAGCAUUUUAAAUAUAUUAUGCCAGCUCUCAAGAGGUUAUAGGGGAAUGAGCACAAUUACUGACAUUCCUAAAUUAAAUAUACUUAUAGCUAGUUCACUCCCAGUGAGAACAUAAAUCAGGCAGUAAGAUGAAUUUACUUUUAACUUCUUCAGACCUACGGAAAGUACUGGAAUUAAACAUUCUAAUUCAUUUACUAAUUUCCAGUCCUAAAGUAAAUAACCAACUCCUUUAUAUAAUAACCAAUUCUUUUGGCAGAAAGUUGUGAUAACAUACAAAAAGUUUUCUACAAAGUAUGAUUAUU